UACGUAGGGUGCAAGCGUUAAUCGGAAUUACUGGGCGUAAAGCGUGCGCAGGCGGUGAUGUAAGACAGAUGUGAAAUCCCCGGGCUUAACCUGGGAACUGCAUUUGUGACUGCGAGGCUGGAGUGCGGCAGAGGGGGAUGGAAUUCCGCGUGUAGCAGUGAAAUGCGUAGAUAUGCGGAGGAACACCGAUGGCGAAGGCAAUCCCCUGGGCCUGCACUGACGCUCAUGCACGAAAGCGUGGGGAGCAAACAGG
rnacentral:rRNA from 1 species